rnacentral:rRNA from 1 species
CUUGAACGCUGGCGGCAGGCCUAACACAUGCAAGUCGAGCGGCAGCGGGAAAGUAGCUUGCUACUUUUGCCGGCGAGCGGCGGACGGGUGCGUAAUGCCUGGGAAAUUGCCCAGUCGAGGGGGAUAACAGUUGGAAACGACUGCUAAUACCGCAUACGGCCUGCGGGGAAAGCAGGGGACCUUCGGGCCUUGCGCGUCCGGAUCUGCGCGGGUGGGCUUAGCCAGUUGGCGAGGUAAAGGCUCACCAAGGCGACGAUCCCUAGCUGGUCUGAGAGGAUGAUCAGCAACACUGGGACCGAGACCCGGGCCAGACUCCUACGGGAGGCAGCAGUGGGGAAUAUGGCACAAUGGGGGAAACCCUGAUGCAGCCAUGCCGCGUGUGUGAAGAAGGCCUUCGGGUUGUAAAGCACUUUCAGCGAGGAGGAAAGGUUGAUGCCUAAUACGCAUCAACUGUGACGUUACUCGCAGAAGAAGCACCGGCUAACUCCGUGCCAGCCGCCGCCGUAAUAC